CCCAGGCCUCAUCCCCUUAGCUAACCCUCAUCCCGUUAGCUCCAGCUCCACCACACUUGCUGUAGAGAGGUCCCCCCCUGAGGCCCAGGAACCUUCUGGACACCUGGGCUCCAGGAACAUUUGGGGCUUGGAUGGAGUUUGCCUCCUACCUUGGGGAACAGCAUGUGAUAGUGGAGAAAGGGAGGAGAGAGUUGAAUCAGGGUCCCCAUCAGCCACCAUGGAAGGAGGAAAAUGUGGCUCCUUCAGAGGCAAAUGUCCACACUGGGACCCACAGGAAGAUUUUGGAGCUUUGGGAUUUCAAAUAAGAGAUUACGGACAUGGACCUAGAGUUCUCUUCGUUGUGGCUGUUCUUCUCAGGAGCCAGACUGAUCAGCAAUGGCCAGAGAAGAAAGGGCUCUGCAGCUCUGGGAGGACAGUGUGAAACUUCAACGGUGUGCUGUAAAUCGGGGCCAGAUUCCGCCACAGUCCCCAGUCUGCGCCUCUGCCCGCCUCCCUGGAGAUUUCCUUCCAACGCUCCAUGCUGCUGGCCUGCUCCUGCAUGUCCAGACCACUGUAGCUGCCGUGCAGAUUCUCCUGGGGGGUGGGCACUGCCUAUGGGGUGCCCCCUCUCCUGACACUGGGGAACUCUCUGCCUCUUGAGGAUCCUGUGGGGCUCAGGCCCGCCUAAACUCUGUGCUUUCAGCAGGGAGUCACUGCAUCCAGGCAUCUCUGGGAUCUGAAGGGAGAGGAAGGAAGGGCAGUUGGAUCUGGAUCUGGAGGAGAGAAAAAGGGAGAAAGUUGGGCGGGCAGAGAUAUCAAGGCAGGACACGAGGUCUCUGUGGCACUGGGAUUCUGGUCCUCCCCGGAGCAGAGCCAGCAGCGUGGUCUGCCCUGUGGUCAUGUCACCUGUUUCCCACGGGCCAGUUUUUAAUAUGGGGUUUGAUUGCAAUCACCACUGGACACCCCAAUUAAUUCAUUGUGUAUGUUUGCUUCUAUGUGUAUACAAAUGUAUGCAAGUAAGUGCAAUAUAUGUGGUCCUAGUGUUAUUUUUGUUCAGAUUUUCAGGCUGGGAAUGUGGGGUUCAUGGGGGCAU